rnacentral:rRNA from 1 species
GACGAACGCUGGCGGCGCGCCUAACACAUGCAAGUCGAACGAGAGAGGAAGAGCUUGCUCUUCUAAUCGAGUGGCGAACGGGUGAGUAACGCGUGAGGAACCUGCCUCAAAGAGGGGGACAACAGUUGGAAACGACUGCUAAUACCGCAUAAGCCCACGGCUCGGCAUCGAGCAGAGGGAAAAGGAGCAAUCCGCUUUGAGAUGGCCUCGCGUCCGAUUAGCUAGUUGGUGAGGUAAUGGCCCACCAAGGCGACGAUCGGUAGCCGGACUGAGAGGUUGAACGGCCACAUUGGGACUGAGACACGGCCCAGACUCCUACGGGAGGCAGCAGUGGGGAAUAUUGCACAAUGGGGGAAACCCUGAUGCAGCGACGCCGCGUGGAGGAAGAAGGUCUUCGGAUUGUAAACUCCUGUUGUUGAGGAAGAUA